rnacentral:rRNA from 2 species
AGAUUGAAGCUUGCUUCAUGAUUCAGAUUUUGGUGAGUGGCGGACGGGUGAGUAACACGUGGGUAACCUGCCCAAAAGUGGGGGAUAACAUUUGGAAACAAGUGCUAAUACCGCAUAACAACUACUUUCACAUGAUCGUAGCUUGAAAGAUGGCUCUGCUAUCGCUUUUGGAUGGACCCGCGGCGUAUUAGCUAGUUGGUGAGGUAAUAGCUCACCAAGGCAAUGAUACGUAGCCGACCUGAGAGGGUAAUCGGCCACAUUGGGACUGAGACACGGCCCAAACUCCUACGGGAGGCAGCAGUAGGGAAUCUUCCACAAUGGGCGAAAGCCUGAUGGAGCAAUGCCGCGUGAGUGAAGAAGGUUUUCGGAUCGUAAAACUCUGUUGUUGAAGAAGAACAUGCGUGAGAGUAACUGUUCGCGUACUGACGGUAUUCAACCAGAAAGCCACGGCUAACUACGUGCCAGCAGCCGCGGUAAUACGUAGGUGGCAAGCGUUGUCCGGAUUUAUUGGGCGUAAAGAGAAUGUAGGCGGUUUAUUAAGUUUGAAGUGAAAGCCCUCGGCUCAACCGAGGAAGUGCUUCGAAAACUGGUAAACUUGAGUGCAGAAGAGGAAAGUGGAACUCCAUGUGUAGCGGUGGAAUGCGUAGAUAUAUGGAAGAACACCAGUGGCGAAGGCGGCUUUCUGGUCUGUAACUGACGCU